rnacentral:tRNA from 1 species
GGGCCCGUAGCUCAGCUUGGUAGAGCGGCGGCCUCCUAAGCCGUAGGUCGCGGGUUCGAAUCCCGCCGGGCCCG